rnacentral:rRNA from 1 species
GACGUAGGGCGCGAGCGUUGUCCGGAUUUAUUGGGCGUAAAGAGCUCGUAGGCGGCUCAUUGCGUCAACCGUGAAAACCAGCAGCUCAACUGUUGGCUUGCGGUUGAUACGGGUGGGCUGGAGUUCGGUAGGGGAGACUGGAAUUCCUGGUGUAGCGGUGAAAUGCGCAGAUAUCAGGAGGAACACCGGUGGCGAAGGCGGCCUUCUGGACAGUGACUGACGCUGAGACGCGAAAGCGUGGGGAGCAAACAGG